rnacentral:rRNA from 1 species
UGAGUAAUACAUCGGAACGUACCUUAUCGUGGGGGAUAACGCAGCGAAAGCUGUGCUAAUACCGCAUACGCCCUGAGGGGGAAAGCGGGGGAUCGAAAGACCUCGCGCGAUUAGAGCGGCCGAUGCCUGAUUAGCUUGUUGGUGGGGUAAAAGCCCACCAAGGCGACGAUCAGUAGCUGGUCUGAGAGGACGAUCAGCCACACUGGGACUGAGACACGGCCCAGACUCCUACGGGAGGCAGCAGUGGGGAAUUUUGGACAAUGGGGGCAACCCUGAUCCAGCAAUGCCGCGUGAGUGAAGAAGGCCUUCGGGUUGUAAAGCUCUUUUGUCAGGGAAGAAACACCGGCUCUAACACAGUCCGGGAAUGACGGUACCUGAAGAAUAAGCACCGGCUAACUACGUGCCAGCAGCCGCGGUAAUACGUAGGGUGCGAGCGUUAAUCGGAAUUACUGGGCGUAAAGCGUGCGCAGGCGGUUAUACAAGACAGGCGUGAAAUCCCCGGGCUUAACCUGGGAAUGGCGCCUGUGACUGUAUAGCUAGAGUGUGUCAGAAGGGGGUAGAAUUCCACGUGUAGCA